GUUGCGUAGUGUUGGGUUCACGAUCGUUAAGUAGCCUGCACGAGAUGCCGUUACUACAGACUGCUUCAGUGGUGGUAAAGUUGUUUGUUGUUGGAGGAACAAUCAUCAGUUAAUGGAUGGACUGUGUGAAGAUGAAGCCAGGUUGAAGUAACAGCUGCGGCACUCCGCGCAAUUCCGCUCAGCUGAUUGGGCGCUGUUGGGGAGUGUGGCGAUCCAAGCUGCUUCCAAAAUGAUGAAAAGCACGACAAGUUAUCAAGAAGACUCUUUUGCUCGCUUCACGCGCAUAGCAUUUUUUCGUUUUUUUAUCGCUCUUUCGCUUCUAGUAUACACGCCGACACACUAACACACACACUUUGCUCAAUGGGCUUAAAUUAAUGAUUAUUAUCACUCGUUUUUAUUAAGUACGCGCACAGAACGCAGAUUCAUUUUUUUGCAGCAAUGCUCCCCCUCGAGAUGGCAAAUCACUUGUUACAUCGUGGCUGAUUUAUGGUUGAUUAGUAAUUCAGGGCAGGCAUUUGCUGCGGACAUUUUGACACAACCACAAACACAUACACAAACACAGCGUCAAAAUCGUGGUACGCAACGGAAGCCAAAACGACUGCUAGACUGGAAAGACCAAACUGAAAUAAAACGCUCAUAAACGGUGCUGUCCCAUAGAAUCGUUGCUUUUGUAAAUCUUUAAUUGACGGCACAUCAUUAGCUACCAACAAGGACAGUGUAUCGGGCAAAUGGCAACACUUUUACGAGCCUUACGAGCAGCUGGUACCAGCCAAGCAGUUUCGAUGCUGCGGUUUCGCUUUCACAUUUCGACCCACUGCCACGAACUGCCGCGGCCUGUGGCCUAACGAGCAAAAGUUAGCUCAUUGAACAGUAUCGCACACUAGCCGGCUCUGCCUGAUGGGAGAAAUUCGAACCAUUCGAACGCACUCGCGAACACGACGAUGCCAAUACGGCAUCUUCCUUCAUCCUGCUCUUCCCAUCGGCAAACGACCGACACUUCCGGGAGAUGGGACCUAUUGCACUGCACCACCACACUGGAGGACACUACUUUUUUAAUUAAAACUACACCACCAACAGCAAUCAUCGGCCUCGGGCCCGAUCAUCGUCUCCGGCUCGCAACUUCACGACACACUAUCGGGCGGGGCUCGCCAAUACCGCCCGUAGCAAAGAUAUUGCGAUCGCGGAUUGGAUUUGCAACCUAAACUAACUCG